UGUGCCUUCAUUUUUAACAUACUAGUAUGUCAAAGAAUACAUCAAGCAGAUGGCAUUGGGCCAAACUAUUUUUCGCUCAUCGAUAUUGUAAGACAAACCCACUACAGUAGGGUCUACGUAACCGGACCAGACCCGGAUAUUUAUCCGGCGAAGGACUGUCAACUCGGCAGCAUUCCUUCAAAUUACUUAAGAAUGUUUUCUACCACUAUAACAACAAAAAUACGAACGUUUUAAUAAAUUUUUAAAAAUAUAUUACGGUUAGUGUAUUAAAAAUA